UACAUGGUUUUCCAAGUACCAGUGCCGAAGU
rnacentral:piRNA from 1 species